rnacentral:misc_RNA from 1 species
CGCCCUGAUGUCCCAAUUUUCCGUGAUCUGAGUCUUCGUGCAAGAGCCGGAAAAAUUCUAGCCCUUGUAGGUCCUAGUGGAUGUGGCAAGAGCUCAGUCAUUGCACUAGUACAGAGAUUCUAUGAGCCAUCGUCUGGAAGGGUUAUGAUUGAUGGGAAGGACAUAAGAAAAUACAACCUCAAGUCCCUGAGAAAGCACAUUGCUAUGGUUCCUCAGGAACCAUGCCUCUUCGCUGCUACCAUUUAUGAAAACAUUGCCUACGGGCAUGAAUCAGCAACUGAGGCUGAAAUCAUUGAAGCUGCUACUUUAUCCAAUGCCCAUAAAUUUAUAUCAGGAUUGCCAGAUGGGUACAAUACAUUUGUAGGGGAGAGAGGAGUCCAGUUAUCUGGUGGACAAAAGCAGAGAAUUGCCAUAGCUCGAGCUCUAGUAAGAAAGGCAGAACUUAUGCUACUUGAUGAGGCAA